rnacentral:rRNA from 1 species
UUCCUACGGGAGGCAGCAGUGGGGAAUUUUGGACAAUGGGCGAAAGCCUGAUCCAGCAAUGCCGCGUGAGUGAAGAAGGCCUUCGGGUUGUAAAGCCCUUUUGUCAGGGAAGAAACGGUGAGAGCUAAUAUCUCUUGCUAAUGACGGUACCUGAAGAAUAAGCACCGGCUAACUACGUGCCAGCAGCCGCGGUAAUACGUAGGGUGCAGGCGUUAAUCGGAAUUACUGGGCGUAAAGCGUGCGCAGGCGGUUUUGUAAGUCUGAUGUGAAAUCCCCGGGCUCAACCUGGGAAUUGCAUUGGAGACUGCAAGGCUAGAAUCUGGCAGAGGGGGGUAGAAUUCCACGUGUAGCAGUGAAAUGCGUAGAUAUGUGGAGGAACACCGAUGGCGAAGGCAGCCCCCUGGGUCAAGAUUGACGCUCAUGCACGAAAGCGUGGGGAGCAAACAGGAUUAGAUACCCUGGUAGUC